rnacentral:lncRNA from 1 species
ACUUGGUAAAGUCAGUGGGAGGAUUUAUAACUCACAGGUCAAUCUCUUCUUUUAUUCUCAAAUCAUUAAAUCAAAUCUUCUAAAUUAUUUAGUCCUUAAAAUGAUACAGUUAUGGGGAUAACUAGUUUCUAGCCUCCUAUUAAGGUGCAUGAUAAUACGUCCAAUAUUCUAAAUAGGCAUUGGAGGUGCUACACAUCUGGUGUCUAUUAGGUAUUGGAAUUAUCAUUCAUCAUAUGACCAUCUUGUUGUAUCCUUCAGAUUAAUGGUU